rnacentral:rRNA from 1 species
GACGUAGGGCGCGAGCGUUGUCCGGAAUUAUUGGGCGUAAAGAGCUCGUAGGCGGUUUGUCGCGUCUGCUGUGAAAGACCGGGGCUCAACUCCGGUUCUGCAGUGGGUACGGGGCAGACUAGAGUGCAGUAGGGGGAGACUGGAAUUCCUGGUGUAGCGGUGAAAUGCGCAGAUAUCAGGAGGAACACCGAUGGCGAAGGCAGGUCUCUGGGCUGUAACUGACGCUGGAGGAGCGAAAGCAUGGGGAGCGAACAGG